rnacentral:misc_RNA from 1 species
CAAUGCCAUCUUCUUCUUCUCACCACUGCUACCAUCUGAUGAUCCUCCUUCACCUUCAUUGCUCUGAUCACCACCACCACCUCAUUGUCUGCUAUUAUCACAAGCAUGACCUCAUUAUCAUCACCAACUUCGAGCAAGCAUCAAGGCAAAGCUUCAAUGCCUCUUUGCAGCAGACCAAUCCCCUGUAAGAGUCCGCUAAUUGGCCCCAUAACGAGAAGGCAUACAGUUAAUCAUUAGGUUUCAGUCUUGAUAGCUUUCCUCUUCCAAAAUUGAAUCAAUGAUGAGGUUUGCACCGAGACAUGACACUGAAACUCCAGCUUGACAACAAGAGAAUAGACCGGGUUACAGCAAUUAUGAUUUGUCCAUUUGAAGAGUUUUAAGGAAAUGAUAAUUGGUCCUCCUUUAAAGCACGACUAUAAUACACUCUGCGCUAAAAAGCUGGAGCAACCAGAGCAGAAGCUUGAAACUAGCAAGUUAUCACAACUGUUUCGUUGGCUCUUCUCAAUGGGCAGAGAUGAGACGCAGUCCACCAAAGCUGAAUUGUAGUUCUUGUUCAAGAAACAAAGAGGGAACCAUUCUUACAGGCUACUUUUUCCUUGUUGGCACUCCAUUAUUUAUGUGAUUUUCAGCCAAGGGGAGCUCUUUCUUUUAGCUGAGUUCCCACCUAGAUUGAUCCUAUUAUCAAUAUUGACACGAGUUCACCAACCUCACUCCAUAUCCCGAUACAGUUGUUUGAUCUGAUAUAUGUGAGGCAGCAUUUGAACACGCUAUCCGUUUCCCUUGAUCUAUUGUGCUCCUUGUAAGUCAUGUAUCCAGAUUGCCUAGUAGCUUAAGGAUCAACCUUUUUCUGCCCUUGAUGGAACUUUUACUGAUUUUUCUAGAAUAAUGAAUUAACAA